GACUCAAGGGCUGAAUUUGCGGCCCAGGAGAGAAUUCAUUGGGCCGCACUCGAGGAAGCGGCUCCAAACGUCACUUCCGGGGGCGCUGGCUCCUCGGGUCGUCUCCAGUUUUUACCCACACUACGGAGGUUCCCAAGCCUCAACCCUCCCCCGGUGAUGUCAGAUCACCCUCCCUUGCUUUCAACAGAAAUUCUGUCCAGGUAGGUUUAGCCAGAAUCCCUCUUACCCUUGCUGCUUCCUCUUAGUAAUUGUCGAUCCACUAACAUCUAACUCUCUGCUCCUUUUGUGGCUAAAUUCCUACUCACCCAGGCUGUAUUCAGAGUUGAACCCAUCUCUCUCACUUUGCACAAUCCCACUGCAGUGGCUCCUACCUCCUGUAUGAUCCUGACUAAAGCCUGCCUUGCCAUCUUUACGGUUGAGCGCUGGGCUGCGAAGCUGCCC